GAUGAGCUCGCGGCCUAUCAGCUUGUUGGUGGGGUAACGGCCCACCAAGGCAACGACGGGUAGCCGGCCUGAGAGGGUGACCGGCCACACUGGGACUGAGACACGGCCCAGACUCCUACGGGAGGCAGCAGUGGGGAAUAUUGGACAAUGGGCGAAAGCCUGAUCCAGCAACGCCGCGUGAGGGAUGACGGCCUUCGGGUUGUAAACCUCUUUCAUCGAGGACGAAGCGCAAGUGACGGUACUCGAAGAAGAAGCACCGGCCAACUACGUGCCAGCAGCCGCGGUAAUACGUAGGGUGCGAGCGUUGUCCGGAAUUAUUGGGCGUAAAGGGCUCGUAGGCGGUUUGUCGCGUCGGGAGUGAAAACUCAGGGCUUAACCCUGAGCCUGCUUCCGAUACGGGCAGACUAGAGGUAUGCAGGGGAGAAUGGAAUUCCUGGUGUAGCGGUGAAAUGCGCAGAUAUCAGGAGGAACACCGGUGGCGAAGGCGGUUCUCUGGGCAUUACCUGACGCUGAGGAGCGAAAGUGUGGGGAGCGAACAGGAUUAGAUACCCUGGUAGUCCACACCGUAAACGUUGGGCGCUAGGUGU
rnacentral:rRNA from 1 species